GCGUGAAUCUGCCGGGACCAUCCGGUAAGGCUAAAUACUCCCGAGAGACCGAUAGUGAACCAGUACUGUGAAGGAAAGGUGAAAAGCACUUCGAACAGAAGAGUGAAAUAGUUCCUGAAACCAUGUGCCUACAAGCGGUCGGAGCACCUUCUGGUGUGACGGCGUGCCUUUUGCAUAAUGAACCUACGAGUUACUUUUUCCGGCGAGGUUAAGGAUUUCAGAUCUGCAGCCGAAGCGAAAGCGAGUCUGAACAGGGCGUAUAGUCGGAAGGAGUAGACGCGAAACCAAGUGAUCUACCCUUGGGCAGGUUGAAGGAUGGGUAACACCAUCUGGAGGACCGAACCAAUAAGCGUUGAAAAGCUUCUGGAUGACCUGAGGGUGGGGGUGAAAGGCUAAUCAAACUUGGAGAUAGCUCGUACUCCCCGAAAUGCAUUUAGGUGCAGCCUUGCGGGUUACUGAUGUGAGGUAGAGCGACUGAUAAGAUGCGAGGGCUUCACCGCCUAUCAAGUCUUGACAAACUCCGAAUGCGUGUCAGUUCUAUGUCAGGAGUGAGGGCAUGGGUGCUAAGGUCCAUGUCCUAAAGGAGAACAAUCCGGACCAACAGCUAAGGUCCCGAAAUGAAUACUAAGUUGAACUAACGAAGUCAGAUUGCUAAGACAGCUAGGAUGUUGGCUUGGAAGCAGCCAUUCAUUUAAAGAGUGCGUAACAGCUCACUAGUCGAGGAGUUUGGCGUGGAUAAUAAUCGGGCAUAAGUAUUCUACCGAAGCUUUGGGAUGAGAAAUCAUCGGUAGGGGAGCAUUCCACUCGGCGUCGAAGGUGAAGCGCGAGCUUUGCUGGAGCGUGUGGAAAAGCAAAUGUAGGUAUAAGUAACGAUAAAGGGGGUGAGAAACCCCCUCGCCGAAAGACUAAGGUUUCCUGAUCAACGCUAAUCGGAUCAGGGUAAGUCGGGUCCUAAGGCUCAGCCGAACGGCGAGGCCGAUGGCAGAACCGGUUAAUAUUCCGGUACUACCUGUGGGAGUGACGUGGAGACGGAGUCGUGACAGCGCCGCGGACUGACGGAAUAGUCCGUUGAAGGGUGUAGAUGCUGAUUGUUCCAGGCAAAUCCGGAGCAAGAGUCGAACCUGACAGUAUGGAGCGUUCUUAGAACAAUCCAAUAGUGCGUGUAAUCAUACUUCCAAGAAAAUCCGCUAAACUUAAUCCUGCAGGUACCCGUACCGCAAACGGACACACGUAGUCGGGAUGAAUAUUCUAAGGCGCUUGAGUGAUUCACGGUUAAGGAACUAGGCAAACUGACCCUGUAACUUCGGGAUAAAGGGUCCUCGCUUUACGGCGAGGCGCAGAGAAUAGGUCCAGGCAACUGUUUAACAAAAACACAGGGCUGUGCAAAAUUGAAAGAUGAAGUAUACAGCCUGACACCUGCCCGGUGCUGGAAGGUUAAGAGGAGAUGUCAUCGCAAGAGAAGCAUUGAAUUGAAGCCCCAGUAAACGGCGGCCGUAACUAUAACGGUCCUAAGGUAGCGAAAUUCCUUGUCGGGUAAGUUCCGACCUGCACGAAUGGUGUAAUGAUCUGGACGCUGUCUCAACCGUGAGCUCAGUGAAAUUGUAGUAUCGGUGAAGAUGCCGAUUACCCGCGAUGGGACGAAAAGACCCCGUGAACCUUUACUAUAGCUUAUCAUUGAAUCUGGGCACGUGAUGUGUAGGAUAGGUCGGAGGCUUUGAAGCAGGUACGCCAGUAUUUGUGGAGCCGCUGUUGAAAUACGACCCUUUAUUUGUUUGGAUUCUAACCCGUGGAUACGGGGACAUUGAUUGGUGGGUAGUUUGACUGGGGUGGUCGCCUCCAAAAGCGUAACGGAGGCUUCUAAAGGUGCCCUCCGGCCGAUUGGUAACCGGCCUUAGAGUGUAAUGGCAUAAGGGCGCUUGACUGGGAGACUGACAAGUCGAUCAGGUAGGAAACUAGAGCAUAGUGAUCCGGUGUUUCCGUAUGGAA
rnacentral:rRNA from 1 species